CCUGCAAGGCGGGGAGGGCUCGAGGGGCCGCUCCUGCGGGCUCGGUCCCCGGCCCCAGGGCCUGCGGGCCCCCCUGCCCCACCACACCCUCCCGCUCCCCACUGCCCUGGGCUGAUUGGAGGAAAGGAAAAAAACAAAACAAAACAAAGACUUGGCAAGGUCCCAGGCCUCAUUGCUGUUUGAUGCCGGAUUACCCAGAAAGCAGGCUCAAGCCAAAUUCCGUCUCUGUUCCCUGAAGGAUGCUUGAGUAAAGAGAUCGCUCUUUGCCCUCCUUCCCUUCCCUGCACCCUCGUCCCUCUCCUCCUCCUUGUGACCACAGGACGCCCAGCCCUGGGCCCUGUCCGGGGCAGAAAGGCAGGAUCUGAGACCGGGGAAAGGAGGAAGCCUCGUGGGGGGCCUUUUCUACCUCCCUCCUGGAGGGCAAGAGCUGCUAGGGCACCCCCAGGGGACAGGCGACUCUCUUUGGACUCCUUACCUGUGUCCGGCGGGCCAGAGGGCCUGAGAGUCGCAGCAGAGCCAGAGGAAAAACACAGGCAGCCCAGAAAGCAACAACAGAAGAGACUGUCAGCAUUAGUCAGCUCCUGGACGGAGCGCCUUCCCACAGCAUGCCAUGAGGGCUGACUUAAAGCAUUGGUCCCCAAGGGAUGUCCCUGAACCCGAGAUUAUGGUAGGAGCAGAAAAGAUGCUUAGUGUGACCUUUCGCUUUGCCUAUUCAUAGACUCAUAGAUACAUGAAACCCUGGAGUUACAAGGAAACAGGUCAGCCAGGCCAGCUCUGCAUCUGGAAGAAAUGUGGCCAACUUUCAGCCCGGCGGUGCUCUCCUAGUGACCAUGAGCUUGCUCCCUCAAUGCGCAUAGCUGAUUCAGAAAGAGGCAGGCCUGUUCAAUCAAAAUUCUCGAGGGCUACUUGCUCUCCCCGGCUGGCCGGCUUGGGACGCUGAAGCUGAUUCUAGAUGUCAGACCUCACCUGAUCCUGGUGUCCAUGGAGUGAUCUCUGAUGUCGUGGAGCCCAGCCCUUUAUGACGAUGUGCCGAAGCUGCCUGAGUACACUCUCUGGAAUGAGAUUUAAGUACCAUCCCCUGCAUGAUCUUUUUUUUUUUUAAUUUUUAUUUAUUUAUGAUAGUCACACACACACAUACACACAGAGAGAGAGAGAGAGAGAGGCAGAGACACAGGCAGAGGGAGAAGCAGGCUCCAUGCACCGGGAGCCCGACGUGGGAUUCGAUCCCGGGUCUCCAGGAUCACGCCCUGGGCCAAAGGCAGGCGCUAAACCGCUGAGCCACCCAGGGAUCCCUCCCCUGCAUGAUCUUAUAGAAAACAAAUCAUACAGAGCCUGAAUUCUGAGUUCAGGUGCCAGAUGAGGAAGGCUCUAAGGGGCAUCUGGCACAUAGGUUGCUAGGGCCAAAGAAAGAAUCUCUGUGGGGUUAGCCUCCUCUUCUUUGGGCCAUACUUUUCCAAUUCCUCAUGGUCUGAGCUGAAUUGAAAUGCCCAUCACUUGUUCUCGACCUGUACUUACUGAUCACAGAGCAAUCUUAGUCUGUGCUUGCUCACCCUGGGACUGACAGCUCCACUGACGCCGCAGCUGCCCACUGAUCACGCUGGAGCACUGCUCGGCUCACUGAUCAUGCUGGAGUAUCGCCUUGCUCACUGAUCACACGGGGACUCUGUCUUGUUCACUUAUGCAGGGACACGGUCUUGUUCACUGAUGGUGCUGGAGCUGCCACUUUCCAGCGAGGAGUCAUCAGUUGUGGCAGCUCUGGUCUCUGCACGCUGGUUGCUGGGAAGGGCUUUAAAACCUCCUUGGUGGGAAGAGUCUAUUCCUGAUCAGAGUCCAAACUGAAAAAUGGAUCCUGCAUUUGCAAGCCCAGUGACAAUAUCCAUUAAACAUCGCCCAAGCAACGGCACCCUGGAACAUUAUUGUUUGGGUACUUCUUGCCCAAUACCAUGUGGGUUUCACUUGCAGAAGGAUCUACAUGAAUCAAAUUCAAGAAGGGAGAUGACUUGGCCAAAGGGUAUGGACCCCCUCAUGAGGAGCAGCGUUGCCUCUGAACAAAUGUGGUACAUACCCACGCUAGAAUAUUACUCAGCCACAAAAAAGGAAUAAAGUGCUGGCUCACAGAUCUCAAGCACGUUAAACUAGUCAGAGAAGCCAGACACCACAGGUCACAUGCUCUACGAUUCCAUUUAUAUGAAAUGUCCAGAAAAGGCAAAUCUGUGGAGUCAGAGUGCAGACUGGAAGUUGCCAGUCUGGGAGGACAAAGAAAUGGGGAACAGCUGAUCAAUAGGCAGCAGAGAAGCAGCGACAGAGAUAACAGCUUCGGCUUCUGACCAGGCUGGCACUGCUGGGGCUCCCACCAUGCUUCAUUGAGCGAUGUGAGCCCCUUGGUAAUCCUGUUAAGCCACCGGGGCAAUGAGUCAUUUCAAUACCACCCAAACACCUUCCUGUCGUGUCCCGGCAAGGAGAGGAGCUCCAGCCAGCACAUUAAGACUUGACCUGCAACAUUCUAAGCAUAAAUUGGAGCCUUUUAAUUGGGCGGUGACUUGGAAACCCAUCAUGCCUAAAUCAGUGCUCGGAGAGCUCAAGCUGCACUCUUUUGUUCGCUUAUUACCUCUUUUCUGAGCCCCUGGGAUAUCCGAGGCAUUGUGCUAAGCUUUCAGGAAUGCAUAUAUAUAUCAUAGCCACUGUCUUCAAGGAAUUCAGCGUCUCCUGGGACAGAGAGACUGGUAAACAGAAGGGAAAUGUGACAUUAUGAGAGCAGCAAAAUAAGAAUGUGACACAGGACAGUAGACAGUCCAGAGGAGAGAAGUAUUACCUCUGGGGGGUAGAGAAGGAAGGGCUGGGGAGGAGGAUCAAGGAAAUCUAAGGAUGCAGGAUUUUGAAGGAUGAUGGAGGUUUCCAUGUUCCAGUGAUGCUCCACGGGAGUGUGUUGUUCAAAGUGGUCUGCCUGGGUGAGGACGGGUGUUCUAUCCCUGUAGCUGUUUGCUAGUUGCAAGGUGACAGUAAAAAGAAGGCUGAGUUUCA